AAAUGAAUAGACGGGACCUCGCACAAGCGGUGGAUCAUGUUGUUUAAUUCGACGAUACGCGAAGAACCUUACCAGGCCUUGACAUACCGAGCAAAGCUAUGGAAACAUAGUGGAGGUUAACUGGGAUACAGGUGGUGCAUGGUUGUCGUCAGCUCGUGUCGUGAGAUGUUGGGUUAAGUCCCGCAACGAGCGCAACUCUUAUCGCUAUUUGCCAUCAUUAAGUUGGGGACUAUAGCGAGACUGCCAGUGACAAACUGGAGGAAGGUGGGAAUGACGUCAAAUCAUCAUGCCCCUUAUGGUCUGGGCUACAAACGUGAUACAAUGGUUGGUACAAAGGGAGGCAAAGUCGUGAGGCCAAGCGAACCCCAUAAAACCAAUCUCAGUUCGGAUUGAAGUCUGCAACUCGACUUCAUGAAGUCGGAAUCGCUAGUAAUCGUAGAUCAGAACGCUACGGUGAAUACGUUCUCGAGGUUUGCACACACCGCCCGU
rnacentral:rRNA from 1 species